GUAAACCAAGUAUCUUGCAGCUGAUUAAAAACCAUGCUUUCUCCUCAAUUCACCUCAGGUUUUCCCUGGCUUGCACAGCAGCAUCUGGUAACAACAUAACUUCCUUUAUUUAGACCCGUCAGAGGAGGAACUCAGGUUUAUUUGUGCCUGAAUCUCUGUUACUUUCUGCAGGGACUGGCUCAUCUCAAAAGAAGGCAAAUUAAACACUGGCAAAACUGUGUAGAAAGUAAAAGCUCACACCUGCAUGGAGGACCAGACAAGACAGGGGACUCUAAACUGACCAGCAAGUUACUCCAUUCCAC